CUCCUACGGGAGGCAGCAGUGGGGAAUAUUGCACAAUGGGCGAAAGCCUGAUGCAGCGACGCCGCGUGAGGGAUGACGGCCUUCGGGUUGUAAACCUCUUUCAGUAGGGAAGAAGCGAAAGUGACGGUACCUGCAGAAGAAGCGCCGGCUAACUACGUGCCAGCAGCCGCGGUAAUACGUAGGGCGCAAGCGUUAUCCGGAAUUAUUGGGCGUAAAGAGCUCGUAGGCGGUUUGUCGCGUCUGCCGUGAAAGUCCGGGGCUCAACUCCGGAUCUGCGGUGGGUACGGGCAGACUAGAGUGAUGUAGGGGAGACUGGAAUUCCUGGUGUAGCGGUGAAAUGCGCAGAUAUCAGGAGGAACACCGAUGGCGAAGGCAGGUCUCUGGGCAUUAACUGACGCUGAGGAGCGAAAGCAUGGGGAGCGAACAGGAUUAGAUACCCUGGUAGUCCAUGCCGUAAACGUUGGGCACUAGGUGUGGGGGACAUUCCACGUUUUCCGCGCCGUAGCUAACGCAUUAAGUGCCCCGCCUGGGGAGUACGGCCGCAAGGCUAAAACUCAAAGGAAUUGACGG
rnacentral:rRNA from 1 species